CUCAUGUUUCGAGUGGUUAUAGCUGCUCUGUGGUCACCAGCUUUCUGCUCCGUCGACAUCCAAGACUCUCAACUCCAAUGGCCUUGAGGUGAAGAUCUCUCAGGACACGACAACUUCUCCUGUGUGACAACAACAACAACACCUUCAUUCACAGAUACAGCUUAUAGCGUCAAUACAAGAUCCUCAUCCCUCACCUUUUUCAGACGCCUCUUGGCUACUGAUGCUGAGUUAAAUUCCAAGGAUAAGAAGAGCAGGGUUUUCGCCAAGAUUUUUUGAGGAGCCGCCACAGCCCCCCUAAUGGAACGGAACGCAGCCAAUCAAGAUGUGAUAGAGAAACAGAGGGGAACGUUUUUAUUUCAUGUACUGAAUUGGUGACAGUAAAAAUGUUGAGAAGUAAAUGUGCCUCCAAUCCGAGCCAUCCUGCCAGCUGAAAUCUUUUCAUAUGACCAACAGGAAUAUGCGACUUCAGUUCCGUGAUCGCAGGACUUUCUGUCUUCUGUUUCUUUUCUCAGGAUUUUUCCACAAAUAACUCACCGAUAACUGUCAUGUUCACCCCCACCUCCAAGAUGUGUUAUGUGUUAUCAGUUACUUUCCAUGUUUCCACUUUGUUUAAUACAUUUGAUCACGUGAGCGUUCAUCAAAGACCAUUUUUUGGAAGGCAUGGUGGCUCUCAUCUCUACUUUAUAUGUGGCAGAAACC